rnacentral:rRNA from 1 species
AGUGAACGCUGGCGGUAGGCCUAACACAUGCAAGUCGAACGGCAGCACAGUAAGAGCUUGCUCUUACGGGUGGCGAGUGGCGGACGGGUGAGGAAUACAGCGGAAUCUACUUUUUCGUGGGGGAUAACGUAGGGAAACUUACGCUAAUACCGCAUACGACCUACGGGUGAAAGCAGGGGAUCUUCGGACCUUGCGCGAUUGAAUGAGCCGAUGUCGGAUUAGCUAGUUGGCGGGGUAAAGGCCCACCAAGGCGACGAUCCGUAGCUGGUCUGAGAGGAUGAUCAGCCACGCUGGAACUGAGACACGGUCCAGACUCCUACGGGAGGCAGCAGUGGGGAAUAUUGGACAAUGGGCGCAAGCCUGAUCCAGCCAUACCGCUUGGGUGAAGAAGGCCUUCGGGUUGUAAAGCCCUUUUGUUGGGAAAGAAAAGCAGCAGGUUAAUACCCCGCUGUUCUGACGGUACCCAAAGAAUAAGCACCGGCUAACUUCGUG